GACGAACGCUGGCGGCGUGCUUAACACAUGCAAGUCGAACGAUGAACUUAGAGCUUGCUCUGGGGGAUUAGUGGCGAACGGGUGAGUAACACGUGAGUAACCUGCCCUGGACUCUGGGAUAACUUCGAGAAAUCGGAGCUAAUACCGGAUAGGACCUUGCACCGCAUGGUGUGGGGUGGAAAGUUUUUCGGUUUGGGAUGGACUCGCGGCCUAUCAGCUUGUUGGUGAGGUAAUGGCUCACCAAGGCGUCGACGGGUAGCCGGCCUGAGAGGGUGACCGGCCACACUGGGACUGAGACACGGCCCAGACUCCUACGGGAGGCAGCAGUGGGGAAUAUUGCACAAUGGGCGCAAGCCUGAUGCAGCAACGCCGCGUGCGGGAUGACGGCCUUCGGGUUGUAAACCGCUUUUAGUAGGGAAGAAGCCUUCGGGUGACGGUACUUGCAGAAAAAGGACCGGCUAACUACGUGCCAGCAGCCGCCGUAA
rnacentral:rRNA from 1 species